rnacentral:lncRNA from 1 species
AGAGCACGCGUCCGAUCGGACGCGCUAAUCGAUCGGACGCGAGCCGGGGCAGUGGAUAUGGUCGCGCGCACGCGACCAUCGCGUCGUCAUGACGUGAACGUCGAUCAACGUGGACGGCCGGCGAGGCGUCGAGCGUAACCUUCGCGGGGAAGCGGCGCAGCAAGUUCAGUGUCAGCUGGCCACGCCGCCGACUCGAAAUACCCGGCCCGGCCCGCAUCGGAGCGGCCGACGUUCCUCGUUCGCCAAAUGCGAGCGGACAUUCGCGAACGGGAUACCGACACGCCGGGAUCUCCGCGACCGGCAUGUGCCGCGACUUCCACCUCCGUCCACGAAUUUCGGUCCCGAGCUCGCGGAUAAGUCCGGCUGCUUCGCGGAUAAGUCUGCCCAGUUAGCGCCGUCUCCUCCUGUCCAAGUUCCGGAAUCAGUAGUGUCAGUGCGUUCCGCCGUCCAGCAGGUUCCUGCUUCGCGGAUAAGUCCAGCUGCUUCAGGGAUAAGUCCAGUUGAUUCGCGGAUAAGUCCAGUUGCUUCGCAGAUAAGUUCAGCCACUUUGCGGAUAAGUCCAGUUGCUGCGCGGAUAAGUCCGGCUGCUUUGCGGAUAAGUGUGCCCACAUCGCGCUGUCUCCUCGACGUCCAAGUUCCGGAAUCAGUCGUGUCGGUGCGUCCAGUCGUCCGGUUGGUUUGCGUGAACCCCGGAGAUUUCGAAUGUCAGUUUUGAAGGUGGGAAGCUCUGUCCUUGGACUUUGUGCUUCUAAAUUUUAUAGUAUUUUUGGCAAUUUAAACGGAGAAAAACAAAUGAAGGUGUGAUUGUGAUUGUCCAAUGGAUCGUAUUCGAUGCAUCAAACAGGCGUUCUAUCGCUGAAAUUGUAUCGAUGUCGCUUGGUUUGACAUAUAAACAUGUAGCUUCAAAAGUCAAUUAAGUAAUCGGUGGGGACGGUUUUUUGUGAUUGAUUUGUUAUUUUUAUGAGUACUGCAUGACAAUGAAAAAUGAAAUUCUUAAGAAUUUCAGCUUUUCUAACUUAAAGUCACAAAUUUUUGUUAAAGGAUAUGUUCAUGUUGAAUUGGACCAAACGAUACAUCGAACCACUAGCGAAUACGAUCCAUGGAAGGAGGGCCUUCGUUCACAAAAACUCAUAUUUGAGUUAGCCUGGGCAUAGGGGUAGUUGUAGUGUGAUCAGUCACAAAGGCCGUUCAUGAGAUACGAGACACUAAGGUAAAAGAGGGGGGGGGGGGUUCUGAGCCAUCGUUACGUAGGGAGAGGGCCAAGACGGCGUUAUGCAUCGCUUAACGCUAUACUUUCUUACAACUUUUUAUUGAUUCAAGUAGUUGUUGUAUAUGCUCCUUUCUCUUUGAAUUGCAUCAUUAGAAAUUUAUCCAGACCAAAUAUUCUUUAAAAAAAGUAUCAUAACGUAUUUCUAUAGGUCGAUAUCGCCCACCCCCUUACCACCUGUGAGUCAAGUAAUCUUUAACAGUCUCUUAAUAAAUUUUCCCCAAUGCACGCGAGUGAACAUAUGUAGAUGGAGCAAAAUCAUGUGGAGUCUCAAGCGAUUAAAUUAGUUGGUCAAGUCGCAUUCAAAUAAUAUGUAACAGAACUUCCUCAAUGCAAAACUAAGAGCAAGGGCUUACUCACUUCAUUAUCGACGUAUCACUUCGUCAUAUAUUCAUACUUCAUGUGUCCAUUCUCCAGCGCCCUAAGCCAAAAUAACCUCUAAAAAAAUUAAUGUAGUGUGACAUCGGUAAAACAAUAGAGUGAUGUCAGGCUUCACUCCAGGUGAUGCCAGUAGAAUCACCGUGAAGUCAGAAAAUCAGGGAGUAAAUAUCCACUAGAUCAAGUAACAGGAGUUUCCGGUGCCAGAGACUGAAAAUCUGUUAAGAAAAUCAAAGUAAUUGUUCGCCAUACAGAGAAUCGUAUCCUUCACAGAAAGCUAGUUUCGGUUAGCUGAAUCCAGGUUCAGUUUACACACUAGAAAAAUUAGGUCACUAGAGCAUCCUCCAUGGCAUAUCGUCGCUUUGGCUGACAAAAGGACGUAUCUGUACUUGGAGAUGAGCCCGGGAAAGCAUUGAGUCAUAUGUAUGGCAUGGUCCAUCGCGAAGUAUAGUUACGUCCUUAUGUCAGGAGGGCGAUGAUAUUAACCAAAAUUGGUGUUUUCGACCUAUAAGAGUGUCUCUCCACGCGUUCUGAUGUAGUCCGAGAGCAAACUAUUUCGUGGGGCAAAAAUUUUGUUCAAUCCUCAUUGAUGCACGGUAAAGUGGAUUGCAUUUUGCAAAAAGGAACCACUAGCAUUGCAAUGUUGCUAAGAUUGUGCAACUUUUUUUGUCUUAGAGGUAAACCCCGAUUAUCCAUUAAUAGUUUCUAUUUAACUCGCUAAAGACCGUAAAUUUAAGACAAAAAUUACCAUCUAAAUUUCAUAGUUUUUCACGAUUUCCGCAAUUUUAUUGCAAAGGAUGAAGUUGCACAAUCUUAGCAUCAUUGCAAUGCUAGUGGUUCCUUUUUGCAAAAUGCAAUCCAAGUGAUAUUGCUGGAUACUUAAAUAUGUAUUAGCGUUUCAUAUUCUACCGUGCUAGGAAAAAACGCGGUAUGAACUUUCAGGCAUUGCCAAAUUUCUUUCAGUAAAUCACAAAUUUUUGGGUAAACUUGUGAAUAUUUUUCUUCCAAUUUUGCAGAUAAUUUUGUUCGCAAUUUCACCCGAAUUUCCUGAAAAUUUUAAGGAAAAAUAUUCAUAGCUUUCCUCCAAAAUAAACAUUUUAUCGAAGGCAAUUUGGCAAAUCUCGAAUGUUCAUACGGCGUUUAUCCUUAACACGGCAGUAUUGUAAUGUCUCUACAUAAACGUGCGGGUCUUUCUCUUUACAACGUGCCUUCCUUCCUUCCUUCCUUCCAAAAAUUGAGACAACUGAACUGAAUGGCUG